UAGUUUAGUGGUAAAACACAUCCUUGCCAAGGAUGAGUCUCGGGUUCGAUUCCCG
rnacentral:tRNA from 13 species